UACAGAGGUUGCAAGCGUUGUUCGGAAUUACUGGGCGUAAAGCGCACGUAGGCGGUCCGUUAAGUCAUGUGUGAAAUCCCCCGGCUCAACCGGGGAAUUGCGCCUGAUACUGGCGGGCUAGAGGUCGAUAGGGGUGAGCGGAACUCCAGGUGGAGCGGUGAAAUGCGUAGAUAUCUGGAGGAACACCGGUGGCGAAAGCGGCUCACUGGAUCGAAACUGACGCUGAGGUGCGAAAGCUAGGGUAGCAAACGGG
rnacentral:rRNA from 1 species